GGUUGAAGGUUGGGUAACACUAACUGGAGGACCGAACCGACUAAUGUUGAAAAAUUAGCGGAUGACCUGUGGCUGGGGGUGAAAGGCCAAUCAAACCGGGAGAUAGCUGGUUCUCCCCGAAAGCUAUUUAGGUAGCGCCUCGUGAAUUCAUCUCCGGGGGUAGAGCACUGUUUCGGCUAGGGGGCCAUCCCGGCUUACCAACCCGAUGCAAACUGCGAAUACCGGAGAAUGUUAUCACGGGAGACACACGGCGGGUGCUAACGUCCGUCGUGAAGAGGGAAACAACCCAGACCGCCAGCUAAGGUCCCAAAGUCAUGGUUAAGUGGGAAACGAUGUGGGAAGGCCCAGACAGCCAGGAUGUUGGCUUAGAAGCAGCCAUCAUUUAAAGAAAGCGUAAUAGCUCACUGGUCGAGUCGGCCUGCGCGGAAGAUGUAACGGGGCUAAACCAUGCACCGAAGCUGCGGCAGCGAACGUAUCACCCAAGACAACUUUACGGAGUUGACGAUUGACGGAGCGAAGCGACGUCAAAGCGUUCAUUAAAGUCGAGUUGGCUUAGGGAUACGUUCGUUGGGUAGGGGAGCGUUCUGUAAGCCUGUGAAGGUGUGUCGUGAGGCAUGCUGGAGGUAUCAGAAGUGCGAAUGCUGACAUAAGUAACGAUAAAGCGGGUGAAAAGCCCGCUCGCCGGAAGACCAAGGGUUCCUGUCCAACGUUAAUCGGGGCAGGGUGAGUCGACCCCUAAGGCGAGGCCGAAAGGCGUAGUCGAUGGGAAACGGGUUAAUAUUCCCGUACUUGGUGUUACUGCGAAGGGGGGACGGAGAAGGCUAUGUUGGCCGGGCGACGGUUGUCCCGGUUUAAGCGUGUAGGUGUGUGUUCCAGGUAAAUCCGGUUCACUUUAACACUGAGGCGUGACGACGAGGCACUACGGUGCUGAAGCAACAAAUGCCCUGCUUCCAGGAAAAGCCUCUAAGCAUCAGGUAACAUCAAAUCGUACCCCAAACCGACACAGGUGGUCAGGUAGAGAAUACCAAGGCGCUUGAGAGAACUCGGGUGAAGGAACUAGGCAAAAUGGUGCCGUAACUUCGGGAGAAGGCACGCUGACACGUAGGUGAAGUGAUUUACUCAUGGAGCUGAAGUCAGUCGAAGAUACCAGCUGGCUGCAACUGUUUAUUAAAAACACAGCACUGUGCAAACACGAAAGUGGACGUAUACGGUGUGACGCCUGCCCGGUGCCGGAAGGUUAAUUGAUGGGGUCAGCGCAAGCGAAGCUCCUGAUCGAAGCCCCGGUAAACGGCGGCCGUAACUAUAACGGUCCUAAGGUAGCGAAAUUCCUUGUCGGGUAAGUUCCGACCUGCACGAAUGGCGUAAUGAUGGCCAGGCUGUCUCCACCCGAGACUCAGUGAAAUUGAACUCGCUGUGAAGAUGCAGUGUACCCGCGGCAAGACGGAAAGACCCCGUGAACCUUUACUAUAGCUUGACACUGAACAUUGAGCCUUGAUGUGUAGGAUAGGUGGGAGGCUUUGAAGUGUGGACGCCAGUCUGCAUGGAGCCGACCUUGAAAUACCACCCUUUAAUGUUUGAUGUUCUAACGUGGACCCGUUACCCGGGUUGCGGACAGUGUCUGGUGGGUAGUUUGACUGGGGCGGUCUCCUCCUAAAGAGUAACGGAGGAGCACGAAGGUUGGCUAAUCCUGGUCGGACAUCAGGAGGUUAGUGCAAUGGCAUAAGCCAGCUUGACUGCGAGCGUGACGGCGCGAGCAGGUGCGAAAGCAGGUCAUAGUGAUCCGGUGGUUCUGAAUGGAAGGGCCAUCGCUCAACGGAUAAAAGGUACUCCGGGGAUAACAGGCUGAUACCGCCCAAGAGUUCAUAUCGACGGCGGUGUUUGGCACCUCGAUGUCGGCUCAUCACAUCCUGGGGCUGAAGUAGGUCCCAAGGGUAUGGCUGUUCGCCAUUUAAAGUGGUACGCGAGCUGGGUUUAGAACGUCGUGAGACAGUUCGGUCCCUAUCUGCCGUGGGCGCUGGAGAACUGAGGGGGGCUGCUCCUAGUACGAGAGGACCGGAGUGGACGCAUCACUGGUGUUCGGGUUGUCAUGCCAAUGGCACUGCCCGGUAGCUAAAUGCGGAAGAGAUAAGUGCUGAAAGCAUCUAAGCACGAAACUUGCCCCGAGAUGAGUUCUCCCUGAGACUUAGAGUCUCCUGAAGGAACGUUGAAGACGACGACGUUGAUAGGCCGGGUGUGUAAGCGCAGCGAUGCGUUGAGCUAACCGGUACUAAUGAACCGUGAGGCUUAACCUUACA
rnacentral:rRNA from 1 species